GAUGAACGCUGGCGGCGUGCCUAAUACAUGCAAGUCGAGCGAACAGACGAGGAGCUUGCUCCUCUGACGUUAGCGGCGGACGGGGGAGUAACACGUGGAUAACCUACCUAUAAGACUGGGAUAACUUCGGGAAACCGGAGCUAAUACCGGAUAACAUGUUGAACCACAUGGUUCAACAGUGAAAGACGGUCUUGCUGUCACUUAUAGAUGGAUCCGCGCCGCAUUAGCUAGUUGGUAAGGUAACGGCUUACCAAGGCAACGAUGCGUAGCCGACCUGAGAGGGUGAUCGGCCACACUGGAACUGAGACACGGUCCAGACUCCUACGGUAGGCAGCAGUAGGGAAUCUUCCGCAAUGGGCGAAAGCCUGACGGAGCAACGCCGCGUGAGUGAAGAAGGUCUUCGGAUCGUAAAACUCUGUUAUUAGGGAAGAACAAAUGUGUAAGUAACUAUGCACGUCUUGACGGUACCUAAUCAGAAAGCCACGGCUAACUACGUG
rnacentral:rRNA from 1 species